rnacentral:lncRNA from 1 species
AAAUAUCCCUGCAGGGCCCAUUGCACUGAAGAACAGGGAUCUGGUUUAUGGCUAAGCAAAAAAGUUGUUUGGAUUUUACUGUGUGAUGAUUCCAGGAGAGGAAUGCUCCCACAUGGAAGGAUCCAGGAUGAAUUACCAGGGGAAAUCACAGGAAAACGGAGCCUUGACUUCCAGGAACAGAAGAUGAAUGUGGAGGACCCAAAUGAGGUUUACAUUGAUCUGGCAGAACAUGAAAUCAAAGAAAAAAAACAAAACCUCUUGGCCACACUCUGUGCACUGUCUGAAAGAAACUGCAACUUGACCAGGUACUGUGUUUGCUUUACCCUUUACAGCCUGUAAGUCAAGAGCAUCCCAAAAUACCAUCUUUGCAAAGCUAUUCCAACUCUGAAUUGGCCUGGCUGAAACAUUUCCCCACUUGCCGUGCAGCAGGAACCUCCUGGAUGCUGCUGGAAGAACACAGUGAAAGGCAACUUGGCAAGAUGAUUCUCAGCAUCUCUGCUGGUGUUUGCCUGGAGAAAACCAAAACUGGCUGCUGGGGUUCUCCUGUCUUGAGAUUGUUCCAAAACCUGUGCUUUACUGAGGAGGGUUGAUUAAACAUUUUCCUAAAAACAACAUGUUUGAUUUUCACACAAAUUCAUAUCUGAAAGCUGCCCACCUUCCUUUAUUUUCUAUGGGUAAGACUAAAUAGUCUACAAGAUUUGCUUUUCAAAAUAUUGUUUCCAUUGGGCUGGUGCUUAUUAUCUUAAAAUUUCAUUGGGAGGGAUAAAAGAAAAUAUUUUCUGUUGGAAUUCAAUAUUAAUGACACUAUUAAGCAUGACAGAUCUGUUUAGAUGACAGUGGUUUACAUGAGAGGUGGACUGGGCUAUCAGUUAUCUUUUUUCCAGGGUAAAUACUGUGAUUUCAGAGCUCUGAUGAGUGUGGGACACAAGCAAUAGCAUUGGAACAAUAAUAGGGACAUUUCAGGGAAGAAAGAAAAACAAUUUUAUGAGAAUCUCAGAGGAAAACCUCAACAAUAUUCAUAACAACUCUCAGUAGAAAUUCCUGUGCUGAUUCAGUUUGUUGUUGCUGUAAUUCCAAAGUUUUAUGAUGCGAUCUGAUAAAGUCCCAUUACCUCAGAGAGGAUUUCAGACACGCUUUACUGGGGAAAAUGAGGGAAGAGUGCUGGUGUGGGGGAGCUGUCACAUUAGUUGUGGUUUUUUGCCCAUACUCUGAGCACUGAAGCCACAAAGAAGUGAUCCAAUGCCAGAAAUAAUGCAGCUGUGACAAAGGCCAGUUUCUUGGUCACAAAAUGUUCUUUGCAGAGAGUCAGUCCUGGCAUGAUUCAAACCUCCC